GAGGGAUCUUAUUAUGGCUUCACCUCCAACUUCCAGGCACCUGAUUGUAGCCACGCCCCCUAAUGACAGGCAUCUGAUUUUAGCCACUCCUCUAAAGGUAGCAGUCUGAAUGUAGCCACACCCCAGUAUGUGAUGGGGACCAAUAGCCACCACUCCUUCAUGUAAAAAGCAUCUGAUUAUAGCCACUCC